CAAAAAUAUAAAAUAAAACUAUAGUCGUCUCUAAUCUCUUUACUCGUGUUCAAAUGACGUCUUUGCGUCACUUUGGAGCCAUUAAUUCAUAUUUCAUACUAAUGGCGACUUUCAAAACCACUUAAUGCAGGAAUCUCUCUGGGCGGUGUUUAUUGGAUUUAACGAGACAGCUAAGACAAAAGAAUAAUCUAUCGGGCCGGGAUGGGAACCGGGUCCUGCAAAACACGGCGUCGUCGGAGCCGGACAUUCCCUAUGGAGGAGAAGUCUGGUCUUUUCGCCGAGGCCAGUCUGUCGCUGGAGGGUUCCUGUUGCCUGCAGAUCCGGGACACUCAAAUUAAAGCGGCUGAAGGCUCCCGCAGGGGUUUUGCUCCGUAUUGCACUCCCAAGUGCUGGAGCCAGCAUACGGUCUAGAAAUGCCUAUCCGGACAUCCUGGAUAUCACCCGUAAAUGAGUAUAGUAGUUCUAUUCAAAUAAAGAACAUUUUUGAUUUUGAUAUUAUUUAAAACAG
rnacentral:misc_RNA from 1 species